CUCGAGGCCAGAUCUUUCCGGUUGAUCCUGCCGGACCUGACUGCUAUCGGAUUGAUACUAAGCCAUGCGAGUCUUUGUAGCAAUACAAGGCAGACGGCUCAGUAACACGUAGUCAAUCUACCCUAUGGAUGGGGAUAACCUCGGGAAACUGAGAAUAAUACCCGAUAGAUCAUUAUGCCUGGAAUGGUUUAUGGUCGAAAUGAUUUAUCGCCGUGGGAUGGGGCUGCGGUCUAUCAGCUUGUUGGUGAGGUAAUGGCCCACCAAGGCUAUAACAGAUACGGGCUCUGAGAGGAGAAGCCCGGAGAUGGGUACUGAGACACGGACCCAGGCCCUAUGGGGCGCAGCAGGCGAGAAAACUUUGCAAUGUGCGAAAGCACGACAAGGUUAAUCCGAGUGUUUUCUGCUAAAGAAAUCUUUUGUCAGUCCUAAAAACACUGAUGAAUAAGGGGUGGGCAAGUUCUGGUGUCAGCCGCCGCGGUAAAACCAGCACCUCAAGUGGUCAGGAGGAUUAUUGGGCCUAAAGCAUCCGUAGCCGGCCGUGUAGGUUUUCGGUUAAA
rnacentral:rRNA from 1 species